rnacentral:rRNA from 1 species
UCCAGACUCCUACGGGAGGCAGCAGUAGGGAAUAUUGCUCAAUGGGGGAAGCCCUGAUGCAGCGACGCCGCGUGGGUGAAGAAGUAUUUCGGUAUGUAAAGCCCUAUCAGCAGGGAAGAAAGAAGACGGUACCUGACUAAGAAGCCCCGGCUAACUACGUGCCAGCAGUCGCGGUAAUACGUAGGGGGCGAGCGUUAUCCGGAUUCACUGGGUGUAAAGGGAGCGUAGACGGCCGUGCAAGCCAGGAGUGAAAGCCCGGGGCCCAACCCCGGGACUGCUCUUGGAACUGUGCGGCUGGAGUGCGGGAGGGGCAGGCUGAAUUCCUGGUGUAGCGGUGAAAUGCGUAGAUAUCAGGAGGAACACCGGCGGCGAAGGCGGCCUGCUGGACCGCGACUGACGUUGAGGCUCGAAAGCGUGGGGAGCGAACAGGAUUAGAUACCCUCGUAU